GCCACCGUAGCUCAGUGGUAGAGCACUCGAUUCGUAAUCGAGCGGUCGUCGGUUCAAAUCCGACCGGUGGCU
rnacentral:tRNA from 1 species